rnacentral:rRNA from 1 species
CAGUCGACGAUGAACCACUUCGGUGGGGAUUAGUGGCGAACGGGUGAGUAACACGUGGGCAAUCUGCCCUGCACUCUGGGACAAGCCCUGGAAACGGGGUCUAAUACCGGAUACUGAUCCUCUUGGGCAUCCAAGGUGUUCGAAAGCUCCGGCGGUGCAGGAUGAGCCCGCGGCCUAUCAGCUUGUUGGUGAGGUAAUGGCUCACCAAGGCGACGACGGGUAGCCGGCCUGAGAGGGCGACCGGCCACACUGGGACUGAGACACGGCCCAGACUCCUACGGGAGGCAGCAGUGGGGAAUAUUGCACAAUGGGCGAAAGCCUGAUGCAGCGACGCCGCGUGAGGGAUGACGGCCUUCGGGUUGUAAACCUCUUUCAGCAGGGAAGAAGCGAAAGUGACGGUACCUGCAGAAGAAGCGCCGGCUAACUACGUGCCAGCAGCCGCGGUAAUACGUAGGGCGCGAGCGUUGUCCGGAAUUAUUGGGCGUAAAGAGCUCGUAGGCGGCUUGUCACGUCGGUUGUGAAAGCCCGGGGCUUAACCCCGGGUCUGCAGUCGAUACGGGCAGGCUAGAGUUCGGUAGGGGAGAUCGGAAUUCCUGGUGUAGCGGUGAAAUGCGCAGAUAUCAGGAGGAACACCGGUGGCGAAGGCGGAUCUCUGGGCCGAUACUGACGCUGAGGAGCGAAAGCGU